rnacentral:rRNA from 1 species
UACGGGGGGGGGGCAAGCGUUGUUCGGAAUUACUGGGCGUAAAGGGCUCGUAGGGGCCAACUAAGUCAGACGUGAAAUCCCUCGGCUUAACCGGGGAACUGCGUCUGAUACUGGAUGGCUAGAGAUUGGGAGAGGGAUGCGGAAUUCCAGGUGUAGCGGUGAAAUGCGUAGAUAUCUGGAGGAACACCGGUGGCGAAGGCGGCAUCCUGGACCAACACUGACGCUGAGGAGCGAAAGCCAGGGGAGCAAACGGG